AAGAGUUAGGGUCUUUUAGGCCCGACCUCCCAACCCUUUGUUUAUUGAACCUCUGUUGCUUCGGCGGACCCGUCUCACGACCGCCGGAGGACUGCCUAAGCGGCGUCCUCUGGCCCGUGUCCGCCGAGAGCCCCCUUUAAAAUUCUUGAAUGAAUCGUGUCUUUUAUGCCUAAGUCAAUGAUUAAAUCAAAAGCA
rnacentral:misc_RNA from 1 species